rnacentral:rRNA from 1 species
AUGAAGACCCAGACCCUCUUGAAGACCCCAAAUUCUGGCUUAUCCAUCCAACCGCACCAACUUCAACAUCCCGAAUGUCUUUGCAGAAGCGGGAUGAUCCUCCAGUGCAGCAACCCCUCAAAGUAUAUUGAAGAUUAUUCUAAUGUCCGAAACCACCCAGCUGCUGAAAUUUGCUACAAACGAGCUAUUUGGGAUUCUACACCUGACACCCAAACUCCUGGAUUACGCAAUAAACCUUCUAACAGCAACCAUCCAAGCCCAGGGCCUCACACACAGUGUUACCGACAGUCCGGUCCUUCCAUAGGCACUGGUUCAUCUUGGCAUACCACACCACAAACCAAUGUUUCUUCGCAACACUAUCGCACUCCUCGAUUAUGCACUGCCAAUGAAUUUUCGAUUCACAUGAAGGACAGAUACCCUAAUCUGGUAUACACUGAGGUUGGUAUAAUGCUAAAAGAGCACAAUGCCAUAACAUUCAAGAUGAUUGCCGAUGUGAAAGACUCCAUAUUGAAACAGAAUACCCAAUUCCUAGACAAAAUAGCUCCAAAGUUGGAGAACAGAUGCACACACUGCUUAAAAAGAGCAACCCCCUGCCUGCUUCAACCCAAUAAUCAGGCACCCCGACCCAAUGAUAGCACAUUUACCACACCGGAUAAUAAUUCUGGAUUGAAACAUCCACGUCUCUACACACAUGAUUCUGAAGGCUUUAGUCCAACUUCAUCUUCAACCAACAAAAGGAAAGGAUUACAUACCUCACACCACAGGCAAACAGGCUCAUCAUCAUUGCACAAACCUGAAUCUUCCACCGUUGUUCAUGCCAAAUCGAAGCAUGAUACAAUCAAAUCAUGGGCAGACACUAUUUUUGGCGGAAUUAUCAUGUGCAAUGAUGACAUAUCUGUCCCUGAUGGAUCGGUCAUUCGUGGUCAAGAAUCCGCACGCCCUCAAGAAAAAGUUGUUGUCAACCAUUCUCAUUACGCCAUUAGUCAUUGGUCACCCGGUAGGACCACCGGCUUCCCAUCAAUAGCCCUCUAG